AACGCGCGACAGAAACGCGCAUAGAAACGCGCGUUUGAGAAACGCCUAGGUGUGAACCCAGCGUUAGGCUUUAUUAGCAUAGGAGACCCAUGUGCAUGGAGUCCUCACAGGUUUGUACUACGGAAGCUAUUGGUGUUCUUUGUGCCGCCACGUAGUGCUACUGUGCAGAACUGUAUUAUGGAAAUAUUCUUUGGUAGAAUUAUUUUUCUUGUUGUAAGACUAGAUGGCAGAGCAAUACUAUGCCUAUGCAUGAAGCUUCAGGCUAGUUUCACACUAGCGUUAAAGGGGUAUUGUCACCUUGCUAAUCAUAUUUAUAAAGUUAAAUAAUGGCAAUAAUUUUUUGGGGGUAAAAACAUUUAGGUUUAUAGUUUAGAAGUUACUGCUGUUUUAUUAUCCCACUGGAGUCAAUUUCCCAUAGUUAUGGCCACUGCAGCAGUUAUCUAGCAGUGGCCGAGCUUGCGCGGUUCUUCCUCUCUGCUCCCUGCCUUGCCACCUUCGUCAUUGUGCUAGACAGGAUGACCACAGAGCCCUCCCUGGCAAGUAAUACAACUCCAGCCUCUCCACCACAGACGUUUAGCCAGAAGUAACUCAACUGCACAAGAAAUACUGUCAGGUUAUCUUGCUGCAGAUGCUCAUCAAGCCUCUGCCCUGCUGUUAGGUUUGAAGAGAGAACUUCCCUCCUUCCGACUGUUUACACCUAACGGCAGGGCAGCUAAAGGAUGAAUGAGGGUCUGCACCAAGAAAACCUGACGGCAUUUCUUGUGCAGUUGACUUACUGCUAGCUAAACGUCUGUGAGAGUAUACUAAGGAACGUCCGCUUCACAUGAUAUGAGAGCGUGCGUCUGAGGGCAUGUCACGUGCUAUACUAAAGUCCCGCCCGUAGCCAGAGAGAUCUGAGGAGAAGGAGAUAGAUGUAGGGAGUAAACUCACUGAUGGAAAAACCCCUUUAAGACCUCUCCGGCUGGAGAUGUCUGGAUUUGGCAUGGCGAAAGUUACUGCAUCUCUGUCCGGCCUCAUUCACUUUAAUGGGGGCCGGUGGAAAUCUGGCUGCAACUCUGCAAACAUGCCGUGAAUCGACCAGACGAAAACUACUGCUCGCAGCGAAUUUUCAUCCGGCUGCAACCUGGUGAUCUCGGACGGUUCUCAUUAUAGUGAAUGGAGCCGGAUGGAGAUGCAGUAGUUUCUGGCAAUGCAGGGUAUACCCUGCCAGAUCGUAAAACAAACUUGAAAAACAAGCCUGUGAGUUGGAGGAACCACAACCACCAAAUAGUUAUUGUUUAGUCAUGAAUGUUAAUGAGGCGAUCAUGCCAAAAUAACUUAUCACCUAUCCACACAAUGGAGCAGUAGUGUGCAUUUUAGCUCACUGCUACAUUAAUUUGUGUGGGACUAUGAGUGCUGUCAGACCCCAUAAAAGUGAGUGGACCAAUGUGCACUGUUGCUCCAUCCAGAGAGGGGACACCAGGACCCCUGUGUUUUGGGAUCGCUGGGUGUUCCAGCGGUUGGACCCCUAGCAAUCGGACAUUUAUCUCCUAUACUGUAGAUGGGUAAUAAGUACUUUUUAUGGGAUAAGUUAAGAAAGCACUAAAUUUAAUAAUGAUGAAAUUGGUAUUUUCGUGGUCUCUAAGUCAGCAAUGUAGGGUUUGUUUGUAUUAAUUCAGAAUUGGGCCGAAUGCACACGGCCGUGUUUCAUGGCCGUGAGCGGUCCGUGGAACCACGGCCUGGAUUCCUGCUGAGAGCAGGAGCACACGGCGUCAUUGCAACCAAUGACGCCGUGCGCUUAGGGUGUGUUCAGAUGUAGGGUGAUGCGGCGUGGUUGGUGGCGGAUGGCUUUAACAUUCUCUUUGGAACGCUGAACGUUUUUCACUUUUUAUUCUUUUAAUUUUUUCAGAAAAUUUUUGCUUUUAAACAUAUAUUAUUAUUUUUUUUACUAUUGAAGCAUGUUGCUGAGCAAUGUUACAUUGGAUUCUUUUUGUAAAAAUAAGUAAAUCUGAUAAUGUUAUUAGACAUCACCCCUGUAAAGAAGAAAAGUCUAUAUCUAGUAAAACACCUCCUCACAGAAUCAGUUUACAUUUUUUUACAACAUUUUUUUUUCCCCACUAUUGGGAUCUAUACACAGUUUUUACAAAAUUACAGCAGAAAAUGGCAAUAUGACUAUAUGACUGCAUGUGUAAAUUAGCGGGCUUGUCUCAUGUGGACAUUUGUCAUAUCCCUAUGAUAUGCCAUAAGUGUCCAAUAGGUGUGGGUCCGGACUCUGGGACCCACUCUUAUUUCAAGAACAUGUCCCCAUUGCACGCCACAAAGAAUGUAGCACAUGUGGCCCUCUCUAUUCACUGCAAUGGGAUGUCUGAAAAUGGCUUCACAUACUGCAAUGGGAUGGCUUCAUACUAAUGAAUGGCGAAAGCUGCACAUGUGCGGCCACCUCUGGGACCCACACCUUAUGGCAUAUCUUGUGUCCAGGUGGGACAGCCCCUUUAAUUCAAAGCCACAUGCAGAAGUGGCAUUUCUCCCCUCUCCAUAAUGUGUUGAGCAGAGACUUUGCACUAAAUGUAACAAACGUUUGUGUGAUUCAAAAGUAAUGAAUUUUUACAUAGGAAUUAAGGAAUAAAAAUUUAUAUUGUGACAUAAUUCUGAAAUCGUGGAAGCCUGCAAAUGAUUAUUUUUUUCUUUGCUAUGAUACGUUUACUAUUAAGAGAAACACACUGUAGUAAAUCUUCACAUUUUCCCCUUUUAUUUAUUCCUUGUAAAAGUGUUACCACCUUCAGUCAACGCAUAUUACCUCAGUUUAUGCUUGAUGUUAAAACUUGAAUGGCUAUCCCCUCUCAGUGUCUACUGAGUUGGUGCAGUCACGCAGGCCAGUUUUCAUUAUACUUGCAUUUAGUUUUCUGCACUUUUUAUUUUCUUGCAUAUAAUUUUCUAUUGUGUGCCUUCUUAAAAUGUAGCAUAUUCUAUAGACUUCAUUUUGAGCAGAGUGAUAGGACCAGAGGUGUACAUGUCUGCAAGGGAAUUUCCCGUCAUUGGCUUUUGGCCUGAAAAAAAAAUUAAUAGGGAAGACAGUAUUUUCGGGCUGCCUGUAGCAAUAUCACGUGACAAAUACACAUUUCGGGCUUUCACCUCUGUCAAAACAUGUCGGGUCCAAAGAUAUUGAGUGAUGGUGUUAAGGGCUAAGGUGUGUGUAGAGUUUGUGUUUUCUCUUGCAUUGAUUCCUUCACCCCAGAUUUAGGCAUUAUUUUAUUGUAGGCUUGUUUGCGUUUUUGUGUUUUGGAGUAUUACUAUGUACUUCAGUGGUUUUGCACAAGAUGAUGGGAGAAUAAGUCAUUUAAUGUGUGGACUCUCGUCUCUUGCACUCUUAAUGCUGCCUUUUGUAGGAUCUCCUAUUCAUUUCAUGAGAGAAACACACAGUAGUAAUUGAUCAAUUACUUUGCAGUUUUCUUUGUUUGCAUUUUCCAUCUUUUGUCGCAGUGUGUAUGGUGAGAGCUGGUGUGUGUGUUGCUUUAUUUUUUUCCUCCAUUCUUGGGGCCCCUUUUUCCGCAUAAUAUGAAAUUUAGACAAUCAAGAGUUCUGUGAAAAGGGCUUUCGUUGAUUUUUAAUUUUAUUUAAAUUUUUUCUCCUUUUUGGCCUGACUGUUCUAACCUCCUUUCUGCCCCUUUUCUCACUAGUGGGGGCAUGUUGCAGCAGUUUGGCCUCCCUCCAUUCUUCCUUAAAACAUUUUAGCAGUUCUACCUGGUCUUGUUCUCCUUUAAUGAUGUUAUAAUGUGCAUUGGCAGCACAGCUUGACAAUUUUGAGUAAUAAUCUUGAGUGUUUAUUUUUUUUUGGGGGGGUGGGGGUGCCGGGCAUGGGAUAAGCAAAAGGAAGAUGCAUUAUUUUGCUAUCAAAGUUAUUGUGUCUGGUUACCUGAGUGCGUUGUUUACAGGGCUGUCCUGAAACUUCCAUUCCUCUUCCCUCAAUCCCACCCUACCUCCAGACUGUGCCGCCAUUUUCCUUGGGUACUUUUGUCGUGUGGGAAUGGUUACCAAAUUUCAUUAAACCCUUGGACUUUUUGCUUUUCACACAGCAAUGUAUUAUGCCAAAGUACCCUUUUUAUUUUUUUUUAUUUUUAUUUUUUUUAUUUUUUUGUCCCAGUGUAUUAUCACCCGAACUGAACACUGGUGACUGGUAAAAAUUUCUUCUAGACCUUGCAUUAGGUCCUCCCUUUUGUGCCACUCUGAUAAUGGAAGUUUCUUUCAGCUCCUAAUACAAAGCACUUGCUUCAUUAAUAAGCACUUUCUCAUGACUCUGUCACUGUUGCUGGUACCGAGAAGUCAUUGCUGCUGCAGUGGAACAAGGGUCAGUACCACAGUGCAGGGUUAAGGUGUAUAAGGGUUUGAUUUCCCUUAACACAAGUGAAGGAAGGGCAUGAAGGAGCUGAUCUGUCCUUCACUGCUGCGCUCACUCUCCAGUGGGAGAGACGAUACAUAUGGAGAUGUUGAUGUUUUGAAAGUGAAUGGGAAAGAAUUUUAAAAUAAAAAAGACAAAAAAAAAUUCUAAACAGCACAAAUGCAUUUCACAAACAGGUUUACUUGCACUGCCACUGUAUAAAAGAAGGAGCUACAUCCGUUUGGAUAGCUGUCGUGAGCCAUAUUGCUGAAUGUAUCCUCUGACGUAAUAUACCAAGAUAUUAAAAUGAAAUUGAAAUGCGAUUGCCACUUCAUGGGUUAAGUAAUGGCUGGUGGCCAUCGGUUUGAAUUAAGGCAUUCAUACCGGCAAGAAAAUUGACCUUUUUUUUUAUUUACCACUAACCGUUGCAUUUUUUUUUAAAUAUGCAGGCACAAUUGUAUGUUCCAAACUUUGGGUACAAAUAACAUAUGAAAUAUGGUUAAAUUCAGUGUUCUGCUUUUCUUGUCUUCUCUUCAGAGGCCUGUUAAGCUUUAUCAUGUACUGUACACCUCUUGAGAAGCCGAAAUGUCACGCUCAAUGUUUGAAGGCAGUGAGGCAACAUAUUGAUGCAAUAUGGAACAAAGUACAUUUCCCAAACUGGACCAAAGCAGGAAAACUACUACUAGAGUUUUCACAUGUGAAAUUCUGAAAAAUGUUAAUGUUUAAAUUUGGACAAGGUUCAGAAGCACAUCAAGUGUUGAAGCGGUUGUCAAUGUAUGUGGCGUGCAUUCAAAGUGGGCUACCAGAAAUGUUUGCAUGGUUGCUGAUAUUGGCCUACAAAGCCAUUCAUGUGACUUGUAGCCAAAUUUAUGGCAUAAAUCCAGUCUGUUCUAGCAAUAUUUUGUUUAUUUUUUUUUUUUUUUUUUACAUUCUAAGGUUUGCAUCUAAUUUAAUUGCAAUACAAUAUAUCCAUACAUCAUCGAAACGUGGCGAUAGUGUUAUCUUUGUUCACUUUUUUUUUUUUCUUUUUCCAACAAAUGUCAGCCUGUAAACCAAAAAUGCAAAGCCCAAAAUUGGACUGAUAGUCCCUAUGUUCAGUAUCCCAGUGCUGAGAGCUCAAUAAUAGCCAGCGUGGUGUGGGCUAAUCAUUUAGAUUAGUACCAUCAAAAUGGUGGGGUAUUAUAGCAGUAAAUAACGAGGCAACUACUAAGUAUGUAGAACAAAUCAACGGUUUAGAGCGUUAUUGUAUUCUCAGACUGAAAUUAAUUUCACCGUAAUUACUUAAAGCACAAACACCAACAUUUAAGUAUUGAGGGUCAAGACUGAUGACACUGCUGGUAUUAUGCACUGGUUUAGUUACGUUUAGCAGCCCAUUAGAACACAAGUUGUUUUUUAGUUUUUUUUUUUUUUGUUUUCUGAGAAAUGAAUUUGUCUCAAUUUUGAGGAAAGAGCUGGCACCCAGUUCCAUCUCUUUGCACGUACCAUUACAAUAUUUCACAACGCCUUGUGCAGUGAUGUGGCCGGCCCAUGAGAUAAACAGGGAUGCCUUUGCUUAAAAACCAAAGCAAAAACUCUUAGCUGUUCUAGAGGAUAGAAUGUCUAUUUAUCCUCCUUGCUUCUGGGGUGACCAGUCACCAGUUAGUGGGUUUUUCUUAUUUUUAUUUUUUUUGUUUUUUUUAACUUGACCUAAAAUUAGCCCCAGUUGCUCUUAGAUGUGGUGUUUCUAGCAGUAGGUAUAUGAAUGAAUUAGCAAAAUUAAAACUAAAAAGCCUCAACGAAUGGAUUCUUGGAAUUGGAAGCACAAAUAAGGUAAAUUGUGUGGAGUGUGUUUUCUGAAGUCACCUACCGUCUCCUUCAGUAAGAGGUUCUCUGCUCCUCACUACCUCCAUCCUUCCCCCAUUGCCACUUGUCUUAUGUUUGCACAUGCUCUCUGGUGACAUGUCCAGAGUUUUGGACUUACAUGUGGCAAUAAAGUCAUGAUGAAGCUGUGUUGCACUCAUGUAAUCCAUUUUGAUGGAGUUUUUUCCUAACGGAGCCCAGUUGGGGUGAUCCAACUUUUCAUUCUAUAUGUAAAUAUCUCAUUUCCCUGUCUGUAAAUGCUGCACCCUUCAUAGAAGUUGUAACUCAGCCUUGAGUACCCUUAGCCGGGGCUCGGGUUAAUGUAACGGACCUCGUUUUUGGACGUCGGGUGAAUAACACUGAACUCAUAAUACUGCUCUUGACAGUACUUUUCCCUUGACACCUGGCAGCAAAUGUGCACAAACACUAACUGGAGUCAAGUGCUUCCAACCCCUUCCAUAGUGUUUAUAUUGAUAGUGCCAUUUUUCACCAGUUUAGCCUAGUGACUUUUUUUUUUUUUUUUUUUCCUUUGCAAAUGGCGCUUUAGCAUUUCCGAACUUGCUGCUCGUCUGUUGUAAAAAUUUGUUUGCUUGCUGUUUCUCCGUAACCUUCUUCCAAUACGCAAGGAACUAAAGCCUUAUUUAUACCAGUACUACUUCAGCUGCUUUGAGUGAACCAGUGUUAGGCAGAAAAAUAGAGGGCCACUUAAUGUUAAAUUGUUGCUUUUGGCAUUUUGUUUAUUUCCGCGCACUUUUGCUUUAGCCAAACUAUGUCCAUGUGAGCGUGUAUCCCACUUCAAUUGAGGAUGUUAAAGAACAAGCCCAUACAGAAAUAUUAAGAAAUUAAGAUGCUACAUGCUUGAGUGCUUCCACUUGGAUAGGUCUUACAGUUCCUGUGGGGAACAGCUUAUACUCUAAUACAUUUCUGCUGUCGAGUAAGCAUGUGCUUUGGCUCAUCUUCUGUUUACCCGCCACUAUGAAUUGUGCCAUAGAAGAACAACUCAGGGAUGUCUAAUGGCAAAGGAUCUUUAUCGAAUCCUAUGUGGCUUAACCUUUGGGGAAUCAGCUAUAGCAAGAAUGGAAACUCUUCAUUGUGCUGCCCACUAGUCAAGUCAUUUUAUUUUUAUUAACCUGCUUUUAUUGAACUCUGAUAUAAAUUAAGUUUUAUUUAGCUAAUCUAGUCAGAAAAUGAUUUUCCCUGAAGCAUUCUGAUUCCAAUAUAAUUUUGUAACUGAUAGGUUAUAAAGAUUAGGUUUAUUUUUAGUUUCUGCUAGAAAUCCAAGAAUCGCAAUCCUAAAUUUCUUAUCAUAAUUUGGUAAGUGAAGCAUUUUUGAUCUGAGAUCUUUGUAAUACACAGAUAUAUCGAUCUCUGCUCAUAAACCUUUCAAUUCCAGGUUGAACCUUCGCUGUUGGAUCACGUGGGCAUUCAGUUUAAAAAGAUUUUGCAGAUAUAUAUAUAUAAACCAAAACCGAUCCGUCCUCCAUUGACUUUCAAUGGUGUUCAAGACGAAUCAGUCUUGGCUAUGUUAAAGAUAAUACAAAUGCAUUUGUUCUGAACGGAUGCAGACUGUUGCAUUUUGUGCAGAUCCGUUCAGAUAAUACAUGUGUGAAAGUAGCCUUAGUGAUCCUCCAGGCAAAAGCGCAAAAUUCUGCUUUUGUCAUGAGUGGAAGUGUCCAUCCAGCAGUUGUAUCAACCUUGCUAAUCCAGAGAUUCAUGGCGGUCUUUUUGCUUUCGUACUCUGGUUCUGGGCAGCAGUUGCCAUGAACCUGUAUAGGAAAUGGUCCUAUGGCAAAAUGUGUGUAAAUGAGCAUAAACUAAUGCUGGGAUCGUUUUUGUUUUUCCUCUGGACGAUCAUAAGACCAGAGAACGGUGAUGUGAACUUAGUCUAUGUUUAACAUCAGGGGGUUCUCCACUUUGACUUUUGCCCACCUGGUCACUUUAAAAAGCAUAUCAGUUGUUCGAUAAGUGUAGAACUGUUUUUAUCCUUGUGUGAACAUUUGAUGACAGAUUUACUUUUUUUUUCCUUUCUUCUGUUUGAGUUUUCAUUAAUAUUAAUGUAGCUGAAACUUGAAUAUUCCCCCCCCCCCCCCCCCUUCCAGUCUGUGGACAUAUUUUAAGACUAGAAUUCUAGUUGUAUAAUGUAUUAACACUAUAUGGUCAAAGUAUAAUUUCUUUGUAAAGUUGACAGUAUAUCUUGUCUAAAAUUUAGUUUUGCCAGCUGCUAAGAGGAGCACCAAACAGAUGAUAUGCAUGCUAAGGCCAACCAGCAUUUAUUUAGUGUAUUUUUGUGACCCUACCCUGAUCUUACUCCUAUAAGGCUAGCUCGAUGAAGAGAUUUUCUCAAUAUGUACAAUUGACGGCUUACAGCAGUUCUGCAUCUGACACAUACAAGUGCAGUUUAUUGUAAAGCAAAGAUUUAUUACCUUUGUAUUGCAGCAAGACUAGGGGGUUACUGGCUCUCCUGAAAGGGGUUGUCUCACUUUAGCAAAUGGCAUUUAUGAUAUAGAUAUAAGACGUUAAUGUAUUGUGAUGAUCCAUAUUGCUUCCUUUGCUGCUCCUUUCCAGGGGUUGCAGCAGUGGCCAUGCUUGCACGCUAUAGGAAAAGAUGCCGGCUUCUCUGGUGACUGGGACUGCGCUUUUCCCUGUAGUGUGAAAGCAUGGCCACCGCUGCUGGAUUGUGGGGAGGUUGUAACCAUUGGGUUCGACCAGUGUAUAAUGCAAUGAAAAAAUGAAUCAAGCCAGCAAAGGAGGCAAUGUGGAUAAUCCGUACAUUAGUGUAUGGUAUUAAAGAGAUUUUUCCAUCACAGACAAUGGGGACAUAGUUAGGCUAUGUCCCCCAUUAUUCUGAUAGGUGCAGGUCCCAUCUCUGGGAACCUCACUUACAUAUAGAACGGAGCAGGGAAAGGGCACAUGCGCAGCCGACUUCCAGUCAUUUUUGUGGGGCCCCUAAAAAUAGCCGAACACUGGCUUGGCUAUUUCUACCGCCCCCAUAGAAAUGAAAGGGAGCUGUGGCCGCGCAAGCGCGUUACACUCCCAUUCACUUGUAUGGGGAGAAUGCUUGGCAGUGGCCAGACCCCAGGAAACCCAGGGUCCUCCAGCCACCACUCUCCCUGCUCCUUUCUCGGUGUAGGUGAGCGUCCCAGACGUGGGACCUGCACCUAUCGAUAUGCCCCCAUUGUCUGUGAUGGGAAUAACCCUUUAACUUUGUCUAAAUUAUAAAUUCCAUUAGCUGAAGUGAGACAACCCCUUUAAGGAGACCAGCUGUGUAUUGAGACUUGGUGGCAAUGCUCCAUGGGAAAAUAAUGUGCAAAGUUCUACUUCUUUCCCUGCGAGAUACCUCUUUGCAUACUACCACAGCAAGCAAAUAAUUAAGCAUUAACACUGAUCUCAAGGGACCGUCUGAUUAUCCAGGAUGCUGGAUAAUUGUUUGGACUGACAUUUGCAGGCCAUUGUUUACACCGCUCAAUCGGUACACUUUUGUCAUGGGUAUUCAUCAAGUAUUUUAUUAAGCCUUGCAAAAAAUAAAAGGGAGGCAGUUUGUAGGGUCAGCCUUACCCUGGGCUUUGUGGCAGUGCUGCUUUUCAGUAGAGCCAUGCCACUCUCUAUUCUUCAUGUCUUGGUAAUGUCCUAAUUGGCUGCUUUGAACUUUUCAGUAACCAUGUGAUAACCUAACCGGUAUGGCCUGGGCCUUCUAUGAUUUACAGGUGUGUGUGUGUGUGUGUGUGUGUUCUUGAGCCUUUCAUGGAGAUUGAAUUAAUGGUACAAUAAUUUGGCUUCAUUUAUAUGACUUUGAGAAACAGGCAGCUAUUAAACUGUUCUUAACACCAAAUACAACGCAGCUUGGUGUACAUGAGCUUAUCGAAAGAGGGAACCAUAGUCGCUUAGACACAUUCUUGAAACUGGUGGUCAUUUCAGUUUUCUAUGUUUUGGGUUAGAAAAACAGAUUGUACUGGACCAUGUAGAUAUAGCAGGCUGAUUCCUUUGCACAACUCGUAGACCUCUUGAGACCCUUAGAUUUAUGUGCGCGCGUGUGAAAGUUUUAGGGGCAUUAAUGGCUGUAAGUACUCGAUAUGUCCAUGUUGUCUGAGUGGUGAUGACUAGGAGUGUAGUUCUCACUGAAGUUGCAGGUUGAAUUUUUAUUGCACUUUUAUGGCAGAAACUCAGAUUCUGCUGGAUGUUUAAGCUUUUUUUAUUUUGAUGUCUUUCUGUUAACAGAAGUCCAGUUAGGUCGGUAAGAUUCUGUUCUACUUGUGAGAGUGAUCGUGUUGUAGACUUUUGCUGUACUGCUUGGCAUCUUCUAGUAGUCUGGCAAUUCCAUCCAGCUUGCAUGAGUCAAGAUAUCGUGAGUACUCUUCUCCGUUAUCUGGAAAGGCAUAUUUCAGUUGUGUUGAAUCACUGUUCUCUGUAACAGAAUGUCGUGUAAGUGCCUAGGAGAGGAGUCUGUCCUGCAGCUGUCGCAAAUCAAUUGAGCCAGGUUUUAGCUAGACAGUAACGCAACCUAAAAUGCUAACUACCGUGUGAUUUCCAGGUGAAUCUCAAAAUGGGUUCUGACAUGUUCUCUGUCUGUAGGGAACUGUUUUCAGGAAUACAUUUUGUUCCCUUCUCAAGCAAUUUAAAUGCCUAUUCCUUAAGAUUUUGUCGUCUCUUUUCCGGAGACCAUAAAAUUUUAGAUUCAGAAUGCACUAGUUUUUGAAGUGAAUUUUGAAUUUCGCUUCAUUAGUCAAUCAAAGCAAUUUGUAAAUAUUCAUUGGAAGAAAAUCUAUUUUGGCGUUGAGGUAAACAAAAAAUGAACAGACCUCUAACCUCUUUCCUUUUCUAGAUGUUGGCUUGAUCCAUCCAUCAGUGUCUUACUUUGGGAUUAUAGUUGGGGUGACGUGAUCCCACGUGAGGCUGUUGGUGGUAACAUCUAGGUGUACCUACAUGUAUGCAUAGAUUCCAUUUUCGGGCUUAGAGAAUGAAAAUCUAUUUUGCCUCAAGCAGAACAUUUUAAUGUUGUCUUUUUGUCUUAGUUAUCUUGUACAGUAUUAGUAGUAGUGAACGUAGUAUUGAAGCCUUUUCUGACUUCAGAAUAACCAACCCCAAAACUCGCAUCACAAGAUAUUGCCAGACACCUUUUUGCCUUGACUCCUACAAACAGGUUAAACCUGGACAUGGGGAAGCUAAAUCUACUUCUUUGUUUUCCUUCUGUUUUCUGAGGUGUUUCUUCGAAGAUGUACCUCUGUAUUACCUGUAAACCCCCCUUAUUUCCUGAUUAAAACAAUUUCAUUUGUGAGUGGGGGAUUUUGUAAACCUUAUUUUAACGUUUCUUGCAUCCCGUAUAUAUGGCAUAUGGUUAGAUUCUUCUGUACUUGUGUUUGUCACUUGUGUUUUUGUUACAGCUGGGUAAUAUUGCUGUGAUGGCUGCUCACUGCCUCAUAGUUAGGGUAUGUCAUAGUGAUGCAACUACUGAGUGCUGGUGUGGCCUCCCUUGCUGUGGCUGUGCCUUUCUACCCCCACUUGCAAAUGUUCAGUCUUCUAACAAUAUUACUCUUAAUGUUUGUUAGGGAAAGGGUGGGUGGGACAAGGGAGAAUGUGUGUGCAAAAUACAUUAUUUUUUGUCAUCCUAACUUGUGGGAGUUAUAAAUUGGGGAUAGCUAAACAUAGUGCAUUCAAAAACUUGAUCUCUUUUUCUAUAAAGUUCCCUGCAACCAAGUCCUGCUGCUCAUAUUGUGGCUUUGAAUCAAUUCUGUUUAUUAAAGAGCUUUAGCUUCUAA